AGUGAAACCUGUUGUUUAUCAUUGGCCUAGCUUGGAGAAACUUGCUACCUGUAGCAUCGAUGCUUUGGAUUCUAAAGGCCGAGGGUCUAUCGGAAACAACCUCUCUACCUUAUAGAGGUAAGGUCUGUAUAUCCUCCCAGACACCACUUGUUGGAUUACACUAGGUUCAAGACGUGGAAAGAGUCGAGCUUUAUGUGACUUAAAAAAUGUUGUGGCUCUAGCAGCAGGGUCUGUGGACGGCCUGGAAAUGGGAAAUAACACUAAGGUAGCAGCUAGAAAUAUAUAAAAUCUCUCUGCUUUUUUGUCUUUUUUAAGAAAAUGGAGCAAUUUGUUCCCCUGAUUAAAGUGUCUUGUUUUUUCCUAAAUGAUCGAACAGGCUGCAAUAAUGUGAAUUGGCUUGAGAGAGAUGAAGGGAUUAUCCAAGCUAUUGUUUCCUUUUGUUAAAGAUAAUACAUUCUUUGAUAGUUGUAGAGUAGCAGAUCUUAUAACUACUUGUUGUAAGUUGGAAAUUUCCAUUCUACUGUAAUAGGUGUACUUAUGUUAGGUAGAGAAUGAAAAUAUUGAUCAUCUCUUUUUUGCAACUUCAUAUAACAAAAAAUGUUUGGGAUAUGUUUCUUUGCCUACUUGGAAUACAAUGGGUGUUGCCUAGUAGUCUUAGAGAGGCUUACCUGGGUGUAAUGGAGCGUUGGGAAAUCCAUCAGAAAAACUUGGUAGAUGGUUCUACUUUGUGUCGCGUGGAGUAUCUGAAAGUAGAGAAACUAGAGGGGUUUUAAAGGAAUUUACAUGCACAAGCUCAAAAGUUUUAUUACUCAUAGUCAUACUAGUAGGAAAAUAUAAUCUAGUUUGUCUAGCACAACAAGAAAUACUACAUUUGUUUAAAGUUUCUACUAUCUCAAAUUUAUUUCUAGGAAAUAACAGAUGUAGACAUUUAUAUGGAACUUGUCCUAAUCUCAUAUGCCACAAGGAGAUACACCUUCUCUACCUCUAUAAGCCUUGGCAGUAAACCCAAAACCUGUUUCUGUAUUCUUUAUUAUAGGUAAUAUCUAAUUUAUUAGAAAAUUUAAGGCUUCUCUUUCUUUAAAAAUUUUCAUCAGCUUCCUAUUGAAGAAAUCUUGAAAUAAAUAAAAGUUAGGAAAGAAGGUAGCAAAACAUUUCAAUUGUCUAAUGACAGUAAAUUGUACUUGAAUUAUGGUAUAUGUAACACAUGUUGAAUGGUACUAUGGUGUGAAAUGUUACUAAUACAAGUGUGUUCAACUUGUGAUAUAUCACCAUUUGGAAGAUAAACACUUCCUCGCAUUCUAGGCUGUGUUAUUGAAGAUUUGUUCAAUAACUCAAUAUCUGAUGUCAUAUGAUUAUUAGCACUUGUAUCAAUGCUAUACCUAGGUGGAUCAUUGGCUACUAGCAGUGCUCUAUUGGUACCAAUGUUACCCUUAGUUAUGCGGACUUUUCACUUUAGUUAUCGCACCCGUGUUGGAUUCUUCAAAAAUACGCUAUUUUUGGCGAAUGUAACACGCACCCAUUGACAUUUUUAAUGAGUCCGAGCAACAUAGAUGUUGCCUGACAUAUUAGAUCAGGCCAUUGGCUUAGUGUCAUGUUGUUCCAGCAUUUUUGCAGAUAUGUGCACAUUAUUCCUGAGUGAACAUGGGAGGCAUAAUUACACUGUUUGUGCUGGAAGAGGGCAUGGCAUGUAUAUAAUAUGAUUCAAGACCCUAAAUAACCUAAGUGUUGGAUGAGAACCACCAUAGAUCAUUCAUUUGCAUCUAAGACUGAUAAUGACCAUUAGGGGAAACAACUACUACUAUAAAAUUUUGCUCAACAGUUCCCAUUCUGUGUCAAUUGAUUUGUAAGAACUAAGUCUUGAUCUCCUUUGUUAUCUACACCUUUGUGAUCCUUAUUCUUAUGAUGUCCAGGUAGAUACCCAUCCAGUCUAUAACAAUCCAUUUUAGAGUGCUUCUUGAGUUUAUAGUGAUCAUAAGUUGAAUUAGGAUUAUAGGAUGCGACAUAGCCUCUUUUUUCCAGAUACAAGCAUAAUAGAAUACAGAAUUAAGGAAGAAGAGAAAAAAAGAUCAGAUGAUAGUAGAGAAGAUUAGUAAAUUUUAUUAUAUGUUCUUGGGUUGAUUAUAGUAGUUUAUCUCUCUCUCUCUCUCUCUCUAUAUAUAUAUAUAUAUGCUAAGAUAGUAACCGACUCCUAACUUUCACUAUAGCUACUUAACUGUUGUAACUAACUUAUUACUAUACCUUAUAGUAGUUAUCUAAUUUCAUUAAUUAACACACAAUAUGCAUCUAAGGUUACAAAAAAAGUUUCUUCGUUCUACUUUGUAUUGUUAUUCAUAUAAUAUGAAAUUUACUUUUGCAGGGUCACUUAUUCAGAAUCAGCUCAUAACUCAUCUUAUGCUUGAAAUUGUUGUGCUAGCUGUCUUGGAUGCAUUGCAUGUUUGUUUUUGGUAUUGGGGCACUGGUAUAGUUUAUUGAACGUCUGAUUGAAUGGCCCUACUACUGCAUUCAUAUUGUGAAAGUAUUGUCUGCGUUCAAAUCAUCCAGAGCUUGUUGAGUUCGUUGAACAGGUUGUUGCCAGGACUUCACAGGCACAUGCAGGCCAUUUACCUUCAGACGCAAGCUUGUAUUUCCGUCAAAUGUUCUCUGGUCAGCUGACUAGUGAAGCAAUGGUUGGAAUGCUUGCUCACUUUAAAGGAUCAACUCAUAACAGGUGUCCACAAUGAAGAAGGAGAUGAAGAAAGAAAUGAUGAAGAAAUUGACCUUACUUGAAAGAUUUUUGAAUUGUUGAUAGAUGCUUUAAUAUCAAUCUUUUUGAUAUUGAAUUUAGUGAAACUUAUUACCACUCAAACGUAAUACUAUAUGAGAAACUAAUGAUCAUUUGACGUUAUAUAUUUUGCUUUUGUAUUUAGAUUAC